rnacentral:rRNA from 1 species
AGGUUAAUGAGGCGAACCGGGGGAACUGAAACAUCUAAGUACCCCGAGGAAAAGAAAUCAACCGAGAUUCCCCCAGUAGCGGCGAGCGAACGGGGAGCAGCCCAGAGCCUGAAUCAGUGUGUGUGUUAGUGGAAGCGUCUGGAAAGGCGUGCGAUACAGGGUGACAGCCCCGUACACAAAAAUGCACAUACUGUGAGCUCGAUGAGUAGGGCGGGACACGUGGUAUCCUGUCUGAAUAUGGGGGGACCAUCCUCCAAGGCUAAAUACUCCUGACUGACCGAUAGUGAACCAGUACCGUGAGGGAAAGGCGAAAAGAACCCCGGCGAGGGGAGUGAAAAAGAACCUGAAACCGUGUACGUACAAGCAGUGGGAGCACGCUUAGGCGUGUGACUGCGUACCUUUUGUAUAAUGGGUCAGCGACUUAUAUUCUGUAGCAAGGUUAACCGAAUAGGGGAGCCGAAGGGAAACCGAGUCUUAACUGGGCGUUAAGUUGCAGGGUAUAGACCCGAAACCCGGUGAUCUAGCCAUGGGCAGGUUGAAGGUUGGGUAACACUAACUGGAGGACCGAACCGACUAAUGUUGAAAAAUUAGCGGAUGACUUGUGGCUGGGGGUGAAAGGCCAAUCAAACCGGGAGAUAGCUGGUUCUCCCCGAAAGCUAUUUAGGUAGCGCCUCGUGAAUUCAUCUCCGGGGGUAGAGCACUGUUUCGGCAAGGGGGUCAUCCCGACUUACCAACCCGAUGCAAACUGCGAAUACCGGAGAAUGUUAUCACGGGAGACAC